ACUUCAAAGUCAAGGGGCGAGGGGAAGCCUACUUUUGAGGAUUUGGCAGCCCACUCUCUCAGUAGCCCUCUCGGAAGGGAGGAAGAGCAAUGCCCUCUCAGAAAGGAGGAAGAUCCCCUGGAGAGCAGACCACUGCCAAGAGCAUACCUGCAAAGGCUCCAAUACAGUGCCCUGCACUGCCGCCCAAGACCGCCUGACUGCCCUGUUAGCAGCGCCGGGAUAGCUAAGAAGUGUGUGACACCGCCGCACUCACCUCCGCUCCACGCCCAGAGCCAGGCCAAUACCCGGGCCCACGACUUCCCCCAACUACCCCUGGCACGGACCGCUUCUUGCCGGAGACCUACUGUAAGUCCCCAAGACAAGUGCUCCAGCCGUCCCAGGGCCAAAGUCCCUCCACACACCCUCACACAGGCACUUCCUACCCACCCGCACCCCACCCCUGUGAGCGGAGGAGAAGCAGCAACAGCCCCGGACCAGCACACUCCGCAGCCACAAACCCCCUUUCUACCAGAACUCCGGCUAGGUCAGGGGUCAGGCUUUGCUCCCAGGCACAACCCUACAAGACUAACACGGAGAAGCUGGGUCGCCGCCUACUCAAACUCCAGCCGCCCCAAACCAAAGCCGGGAAAAGUGGGACCCACCGCGGCGAGGGCGACUGAGCACAACCACGGCUGGGCAGGGAGAAAGGGCGGCCCACCCCGGCCUACGCCCACCCCGACCCCAAACCCGAGCUCCGGGGGGCCGAGGGUGGGUGACGGAGCCGAAAGGAGAGCCCAUCGCCGAGCUCGCUGCUUUGGAGCAGAAGAGCCCCGAGCGGCAGCAGUCGUCCAGGCUCCCCGGCGCUCCCACCCCGCCCGGCCCAGGGGCGCACUCGCCGGAGCGCUCGGAUGGGGCAAGGGCCACCGAACCCGGAGCGCCAGCCCCGGGCCCGCCGCGGCUCUCGCCCGCCCGCGCCGAAGUUCGGCUCAGCUGGGUCCCCACCGAGGCCUCCAACCUCUAGCGAGCGAUCCUGGCAGACAAAGCCAGCGCCACCCGCGGGGCCGCCCUCGGGCAGGCGGGGAGGAAGGCUGA
rnacentral:lncRNA from 1 species